UUUUAGCUCACCUGUCACAAAGUGACAGGGUGAGCUUUUGUGAUCGCUUUUCGUCCGGCGUCCGUCCGUCCGUCGUCCGUCGUCCGUCCGUAAACUUUUGCUUUAAAUGACAUCUCCUCAUAAACCACUGAGCCAAUUUCAUCCAAACUUCACAGGAAUGUUCCCUUGGUGGUCACCUUUAAAAAUUGUUCAAAGAAUUUAAUUCCAUGCAGAACUCUGGUUGCCAUGGCAACCGAAAGAAAAAUCUUUAAAUAUCUUCUUUUAAACAACCCUAAGAGCUAGAGCUUAGAUAUUUGGCAUGAAACAUCUUCUAAUGAGUGUCUACCAAGUUUGUUCAAAUAAAAGCCCUGGGGUCAAAAUUGGCCCCGCCCCAGGGGGUCAUUGAUUUUCCCUAUAUACAUAUAGUAAAAACUUAAAAAAUCUUCUUUUAAAGAACUGUAAGAGCUAGAGCUAAGAUAUUUGGCAUGAAACAUCUUCUAGUGAAUGUCUACCAAGUUUGUUCAAAUAAAAGCCCUGGGGUCAAAAUUGGCCCCGCCCCAGGGGGUCAUUGAUUUUCCCUAUAUGCAUAUAGUAAAAAACUUAAAAAAUCUUCUUUUAAAGAACUGUAAGAGCUAGAGCUUAGAUAUUUGGCAUGAAACAUCUUCUAGUGAAUGUCUACCAAUUUGUUCAAAUAAAAGCCCUGGGGUCAAAAUUGGCCCCGCCCCAGGGGGUCAUUGAUUUUCCUUAUAUGCAUAUAGUAAAAACUUAAAAAAUCUUCUUUUAAAGAACCCAAAGAGCUAGAGCUAAGAUAUUUAGCAUGAGACAUGUUCUAAUGGGUGUCUACCAAGUAUGUUCAAAUAAAAGCCCUGGGGUCAAAACUGGCCCCGCCCCGGGGGUCAUUGAUUUUCCUUAUAUACAUAGCAAAAACUUGAAAAUCUUCU